rnacentral:rRNA from 1 species
UACGGAGGAUCCGAGCGUUAUCCGGAUUUAUUGGGUUUAAAGGGUGCGUAGGUGGCCUGUUAAGUCAGGGGUGAAAGACGGUAGCUCAACUAUCGCAGUGCCCUUGAUACUGAUGGGCUUGAAUGAACUAGAGGUAGGCGGAAUGUGACGAGUAGCGGUGAAAUGCAUAGAUAUGUCACAGAACACCAAUUGCGAAGGCAGCUUACUAUGGUUUUAUUGACACUGAGGCACGAAAGCGUGGGGAUCAAACAGG